rnacentral:rRNA from 1 species
CCUACGGGAGGCAGCAGUAGGGAAUUUUGCGCAAUGGGCGAAAGCCUGACGCAGCAACGCCGCGUGAUCGAGACGCCCUUCGGGGUGUAAAGAUCUGUCAGUGGGGACGAAACUUGACGGUACCCACAGAGGAAGCACCGGCUAACUCCGUGACAGCAGCCGCGAUAAUACGGGGGGUGCAAGCGUUGUCCGGAAUCAUUGGGCGUAAAAAGUUCGUAGGCGGCACGUAAAGUCUGGUGUUAAAGGCAGAGGCUCAACUUCUGUACGGCACUGGAUACUUGCGAGCUAGAGUGCGGUAGAGGUAAAGGGAAUUCCUGGUGUAGCGGUGAAAUGCUUAGAUAUCAGGAGGAACAUCGGUGGCGUAAGCGCUUUACUGGGCCGUAAUUGACGCUGAGGAACGAAAGCCAGGGUAGCAAAUGGGAUUAGAUACCCCUGUAGUC